UGCCCCAGACAUGGCGUAAAACUGUGACCGCCAAAGGGAAGCGACCCCGUAAAAAGCGUA
rfam:Clostridium leptum CAG:27 genomic scaffold, scf168